GACGAAGGGGCUAGCGUUGUCCGGAAUCAUUGGGCGUAAAGCGCGUGUAGGCGGUCCGGUAAGUCCGCUGUGAAAGUCGAGGGCUCAACCUCGAAUGCCGGUGGAUACUGUCGGGCUUGAGUACGGGAGAGGCGAGUGGAAUUCCUGGUGUAGCGGUGAAAUGCGCAGAUAUCAGGAGGAACACCAAUGGCGAAGGCAGAUCUCUGGGCCGUAACUGACGCUGAGGAGCGAAAGCAUGGGAGCGAACAGG
rnacentral:rRNA from 1 species